GAGGAAUAUUGGUCAAUGGGCGAGAGCCUGAACCAGCCAAGUAGCGUGCAGGAUGACGGCCCUAUGGGUUGUAAACUGCUUUUAUGUGGGGAUAAAGUGAGCUACGUGUAGUUUAUUGCAGGUACCACAUGAAUAAGGACCGGCUAAUUCCGUGCCAGCAGCCGCGGUAAUACGGAAGGUCCAGGCGUUAUCCGGAUUUAUUGGGUUUAAAGGGAGCGUAGGCUGGAGAUUAAGUGUGUUGUGAAAUGUAGACGCUCAACGUCUGACUUGCAGCGCAUACUGGUUUCCUUGAGUACGCACAACGUUGGCGGAAUUCGUCGUGUAGCGGUGAAAUGCUUAGAUAUGACGAAGAACUCCGAUUGCGAAGGCAGCUGACGGGAGCGCAACUGACGCUUAAGCUCGAAGGUGCGGGUAUCAAACAGGAUUAGAUACCCUGGUAGUCCGCACAGUAAACGAUGGAUGCCCGCUGUUGGUACCUGGUAUCAGCGGCUAAGCGAAAGCAUUAAGCAUCCCACCUGGGGAGUACGCCGGCAACGGUG
rnacentral:rRNA from 1 species